rnacentral:rRNA from 1 species
GACGGAGGGGGCAAGCGUUGUCCGGACUCACUGGGCGUAAAGCGUACGUAGGCGGCGCAGUGCGUCGGUGCUGAAAGCGCCAGGCUUAACCUGGCGAGGCGUGCCGAUACGACUGAUGCUGGAGGCAGGGAGAGGGUAGCGGAAUUCCGGGUGUAGUGGUGAAAUGCGUAGAGAUCCGGAGGAACGCCUGUGGCGCAAGCGGCUACCUGGCCCUGACCUGACGCUGAGGUACGAAAGCGUGGGGA